rnacentral:tRNA from 1 species
GGUAAGAUGGCCGAAAAUAGGCAGCGGAUUGUAACCCCGCCAACAGAGGCUCAGCCCUCUUCUUAUCA